AUACGGAGGGUGCAAGCGUUACUCGGAAUCACUGGGCGUAAAGCGCGCGCAGGCGGCUUGAUAAGUUGGAUGUGAAAGCCUACGGCUCAACCGUAGAACUGCAUCCAAAACUGUCAGGCUAGAGUGUGGGAGAGGAAGAUGGAAUUAGUUGUGUAGGGGUAAAAUCCGUAGAGAUAACUAGGAAUACCAAAAGCGAAGGCAAUCUUCUGGAACAUUACUGACGCUGAGGCGCGAAAGCGUGGGGAGCAAACAGGAUUAGAAACCCGGGUAGUCC
rnacentral:rRNA from 1 species